GACGAACGCUGGCGGCGUGCCUAAUACAUGCAAGUAGAACGCUGAAGAGAGGAGCUUGCUCUUCUUGGAUGAGUUGCGAACGGGUGAGUAACGCGUAGGUAACCUGCCUUGUAGCGGGGGAUAACUAUUGGAAACGAUAGCUAAUACCGCAUAACAAUGGAUGACACAUGUCAUUUAUUUGAAAGGGGCAAUUGCUCCACUACAAGAUGGACCUGCGUUGUAUUAGCUAGUAGGUGAGGUAACGGCUCACCUAGGCGACGAUACAUAGCCGACCUGAGAGGGUGAUCGGCCACACUGGGACUGAGACACGGCCCAGACUCCUACGAGAGGCAGCAGUAGGGAAUCUUCGGCAAUGGGGGCAACCCUGACCGAGCAACGCCGCGUGAGUGAAGAAGGUUUUCGGAUCGUAAAGCUCUGUUGUAAGUCAAGAACGAGUGUGAGAGUGGAAAGUUCACACUGUGACGGUAGCUUACCAGAAAAGGGACGGCUAACUACGUGCCAG
rnacentral:rRNA from 1 species